UGGGGAAUUUUUGGACAAUGGGCGAAAGCCUGAUCCAGCAAUGCCGCGUGUGUGAAGAAGGCCUUCGGGUUGUAAAGCACUUUUGUCCGGAAAGAAAUCCUUGGCUCUAAUACAGUCGGGGGGAUGACGGUACCGGAAGAAUAAGCACCGGCUAACUACGUGCCAGCAGCCGCGGUAAUACGUAGGGUGCAAGCGUUAAUCGGAAUUACUGGGCGUAAAGCGUGCGCAGGCGGUUUGCUAAGACCGAUGUGAAAUCCCCGGGCUCAACCUGGGAACUGCAUUGGUGACUGGCAGGCUAGAGUAUGGCAGAGGGGGGUAGAAUUCCACGUGUAGCAGUGAAAUGCGUAGAGAUGUGGAGGAAUACCGAUGGCGAAGGCAGCCCCCUGGGCCAAUACUGACGCUCAUGCACG
rnacentral:rRNA from 1 species